GACACCACACCAACAGCAACUUCAAACUACCAGUACUUUUCUUCUGAUGAAAGAGCACCAUGGCAUUACUUUAGAUCAAGGCUCUCUUGUGCAUGGCAUAUGUCCCCCAUUCACAAUACUCAGAACAGAACCCCACCAUUCACAAUACUCAGAACAGAACCCCACCAUUCACAAUACUCAGAACAUAACCCCCAUUCACAAUACUCAGAACAGAACCCCCAUUCACAACACUCAGAACAGAACCCCACCAUUCACAAUACUCAGAACAGAACCCCACCAUUCACAAUACUCAGAACAGAACCCCCAUUCACAAUACUCAGAACAGAACCCCACCAUUCACAAUACUCAGAACAGAACCCCCAUUCACAAUACUCAGAACAGAACCCCACCAUUCACAAUACUCAGAACAGAACCCCCAUUCACAAUACUCAGAACAGAACCCCCCAUUCACAAUACUCAGAACAGAACCCCACCAUUUACAAUACUCAGAACAGAACCCCCAUUCACAAUACUCAGAACAGAACCCCCAUUCACAAUACUCAGAACAGACCCCCCCCAUUCACAAUACUCAGAACAGAACCCCCCAACUAGUAGGCUGCACAAAUGGCACCCUAUUCCCCAUAUAAGACGGCAGGGUAGCCUAGUGGUUAGAGCGUUGGACUAGUGACUUAAAGGUUGCAAGUUUGAAUCCCUGAGCUGAUGGUGUGUGUAUCUGUUGUUCUGCCCCUGAACAAGGCAGUUAACCCACUGCUCCUAGGCCAUCAUUGAAAAUAAGAAUUUGUUCUUAAUUAACUGACUUGCCUAGUUAAAUAAAGGUAAUACAAAUAGUGCACUACUUUUUAGUGCACCGAAUAGGGUGCUAUUUGGGCCGCAUGCACAGGCUUCAACUCAUAAAUCACCUCACAAGUAAUAAUCAUCAACAUGUCCAAGUCAUUGGACUCAUAGUGAAGUCAUUGGACUCAUAUUGAAGUCACUGGACUCAUAUUGAAGUCAUUGGACUCAUAGUGAAGUCAUUGGACUCAUAGUGACGGCAUUGGACUCAUAUUGAAGUCAUUGGACUCUUAUUGCAGUCAUUGGACUCAUAACGAAGUCAUUGGACUCAUAUCGAAGUCAUUGGACUCAUAUCGUAGUCAUUGGACUCGUAUUGAAGUCAUUGGACUCAUAGUGAAGUCAUUGGACUCAUAUUGAAGUUAUUGGACUCAUAGUGAAGUCAUUGGACUCAUAUUGUAGUCAUUGGACUCAUAUUGAAGUCAUUGGACUCAUAUCGUAGUCAUUGGACUCAUAUUGUAGUCUUUGGACUCAUAUUGAAGUCAUUGGACUCAUAGUGAAGUCAUUGGACUCAUAUUGAAGUUAUUGGACUCAUAGUGAAGUCAUUGGACUCAUAUUGAAGUCAUCAUAGUGAAGUCAUUGGACUCAUAUUGAAGUUAUUGGACUCAUAGUGAAGUCAUUGGACUCAUAUUGAAGUCAUUGGACUCAUAUUGAAGUCAUUGGACUCAUAGUGACGUCCUUGUUAUGAUAUAACCUCAUACACAUAAACCAACUAAAUAAAUACACGAUGGUAAUAUGGAAGUUAUUCAGAAGAGGGAAGAAUAACACAGUCUUGGCAGUUUGGUUGAUUUGGCAUUCUGGAGUUUUAUCAUAUUUUUUGUGAGACAAAAAUCACACCUACUCGCUGUACACACACACACACACAAACACACACACACACACACACACACACUGACACACACACACACACACACACACACACACACACACACACACACACACACACGUAAAAGGGGGACCACCUCUGAGUCGUAUCAUCAUCGUGAUGACAUCAGCGCGUGUCUGUGUUCUAUUGGCUUUAGUACUUGAUUAAACCAUGCAUCUCUAACUAUUUACGCACUUUGAUAAAACUCUUGAUAAAACUCUUUGUUGAAACGUACCACAGUAACUGGGAUUCAGAAAAAACUCAAGUUUCAAUAUCGGGUUGCAAAAUCCAGUCAUUUUCCCCCAAAUUCCCAGGUUGGAGGAUUAUGGAUUUUGUGCUUAUUUCUGUCUGAUUCAAGAAAAAUUCCAACCUGGAUUUCUGGAAAAUCAGGGAAUUUGGGGAAAGUUCCUGAAAUUUUGCAACCCUAAAUACAGUACAAGGUUUAAUGUGCUUGUUUCUCAUCCGGCUGUCUAAAAUGUCCUCACAGCAUUAUAAUUUAAAAUUCUCUCGUAGGUAGAGGUUUAUUUAAAUCCUGUGUCCACAAGCACAUCCCAAUCUUUUCAGAUCAUCGAAAGAAAGACUUCAACACCUCAUCUUCUCCUCUUCCUCAUCCUCUUCUUCCACCUAUGAUGAGUCAUGGCAGGUAGAUUGCUACUGGUCCUUUCAUUGUGAAAAGUUCUCAAGUCACCCUGGUUCCAAUAUGAAAAGUUCUAGAAGUCCUGGUGGUUCCAAUAUGAAAAGUUCUAGAAGUCCUGGUGGUUCCAAUAUGAACAGUUCGAGAAGUCCUGGUGGUUCCAAUAUAAAAAGUUCUAGAAGUCCUGGUGGUUCCAAUAUGAACAGUUCUAGAAGUCCUGGUGGUUCCAAUAUGAAAAGUUCUAGAAGUCCUGGUGGUUCCAAUAUGAACAGUUCUAGAAGUCAUGGUGGUUCCAAGGUUCCAGUGGCGUAUCCCUUCCUUCUUCAGGACCAACCAACCACACAACAUGGAGAUGGUGUCAUCCUAUCCCAGAGAUUUCUCUAUUCUCCACCUAAAGAUUCAUGGGGAAAAUGUCAUAUUGUGAUCCUUCUCUUGAGGCGUUGUCAGUAGUGAAAUGGUAAUGGGCUUUGUUUUUGGUCAAAGUCUUGAAGCACCGUUAGUUGUCAAACAUGUCCUCGCCCGUUGUUAAUGCAGAGAGAGAAAAGUCCAACCCAGUAGUAGAGAAGCUAGUCGGCUAGUUUUCAAAACCAGAAACACCUCCACAUGCAGCGCAGGCCAUGUAAAACGUAGAAACCAUGUUGACACUUGCAACCACAAAGCUUCCACACGGUUAGACAUCACUUGGGUGCAGGACUUGAGAUCUCUCUCUCUCUGUUAUUUGAUUCAUUCCUCCCUUUCUCUCUCUCCCUCCUUUGUUCCCUCCCUCUGCCUCCUCUCACUGUGUCUUUAGGUGUGGUCAUGCAACAAGCCCAUAGCUGCCACACACAUUGGUCUGUCUCGUCUCCAUCCCUCUCUCUCUCU
ensembl:lncRNA